UGUCAAAUGGAUGCACUAAUGCAUUUCGAGGGAGCCACGGUAAAUGGCAAAACCCUCACUACCGAUCCGCCAGCUCUUUCGUAAUAAAAAAGCGUGCGUUCGAAACAAUUCGCGGCCCUCAAAUAGGCAUGCUCCCCAGAUUAGAUCUGCAAGGAGC
rnacentral:rRNA from 1 species